AACUGAUACUACCUGCGGGAACCUGCGGAGGGAUCAUUACCGAGAUUUAUGCUUAUAACAUUAUGUUUAGGCAGUCUCCCACCCUUUGUGUUACCAAAAUUUUCUUAUACUUUGGUGAAGCGUCUUCCUCCCUCUUCUUUGGGGAGGAAACCAUCGACUUGAGAUAUAGUGGAUGAGUCUUUGCCAAAGGUCACUUUUAAAACUCUUUUGAAAAUCAAUUGUCUGAGUUUAUUAAACUAA
rnacentral:misc_RNA from 1 species